rnacentral:rRNA from 1 species
AUUGAACGCUGGCGGCAUGCUUUACACAUGCAAGUCGAACGGCAGCGCGGGCUUCGGCCUGGCGGCGAGUGGCGAACGGGUGAGUAAUGCAUCGGAACGUGCCCAGUAGUGGGGGAUAGCCCGGCGAAAGCCGGAUUAAUACCGCAUACGACCUGAGGGUGAAAGCGGGGGACCGAAAGGCCUCGCGCUAUUGGAGCGGCCGAUGUCGGAUUAGCUAGUUGGUGGGGUAAAGGCUUACCAAGGCGACGAUCCGUAGCUGGUCUGAGAGGACGACCAGCCACACUGGGACUGAGACACGGCCCAGACUCCUACGGGAGGCAGCAGUGGGGAAUUUUGGACAAUGGGGGCAACCCUGAUCCAGCCAUGCCGCGUGAGGGAAGAAGGCCUUCGGGUUGUAAACCGCUUUUGUUCGGGAAGAAAUCCUCUGGGCUAAUACCCAGGGGGGAUGACGGUACCGGAAGAAUAAGCACCGGCUAACUACGUG